rnacentral:rRNA from 1 species
UACGAAGGGGGCUAGCGUUGCUCGGAAUUACUGGGCGUAAAGGGCGCGUAGGCGGACGUUUAAGUCAGAGGUGAAAUCCCAGGGCUCAACCCUGGAACUGCCUUUGAUACUGAACAUCUUGAGUACGGGAGAGGUGAGUGGAACUCCGAGUGUAGAGGUGAAAUUCGUAGAUAUUCGGAAGAACACCAGUGGCGAAGGCGACUCACUGGCCCGUUACUGACGCUGAGGCGCGAAAGCGUGGGGAGCAAACAGG